UACGUAGGGUGCAAGCGUUGUCCGGAAUUAUUGGGCGUAAAGAGCUCGUAGGCGGUUUGUCGCGUCUGCUGUGAAAACUCGGGGCUUAACCCCGGGCCUGCAGUGGGUACGGGCAGACUAGAGUGCGGUAGGGGAGACUGGAAUUCUUGGUGUAGCGGUGAAAUGCGUAGAUAUCAAGAGGAACACCUGAGGUGAAGACGGGUGGCUGGGCUGACACUGACGCUGAGGCGCGAAAGCCAGGGGAGCAAACGGG
rnacentral:rRNA from 1 species